rnacentral:rRNA from 1 species
UGGGGAAUAUUGCACAAUGGGCGCAAGCCUGAUGCAGCCAUGCCGCGUGUGUGAAGAAGGCCUUCGGGUUGNAAAGCACUUUCAGCGAGGAGGAAGGUGGUGAGCUUAAUACGCUCAUCAAUUGACGUUACUCGCAGAAGAAGCACCGGCUAACUCCGUGCCAGCGCCGCGGUAAUACGGAGGGUGCAAGCGUUAAUCGGAAUUACUGGGCGUAAAGCGCACGCAGGCGGUUUGUUAAGUCAGAUGUGAAAUCCCCGGGCUCAACCUGGGAACUGCAUUUGAAACUGGCAAGCUAGAGGUCUCGUAGAGGGGGUAGAAUUCCAGGUGUAGCGGUGAAAUGCGUAGAGAUCUGGAGGAAUACCGGUGGCGAAGGCGGCCCCCUGGACGAAGACUGACGCUCAGGUGCGAAAGCGUGGGCAGCAAACAGGAUUAGAUACCCUGGUAGU